rnacentral:misc_RNA from 2 species
AAGUCGUAACAAGGUUUCCGUAGGUGAACCUGCGGAAGGAUCAUUAUUGAAUAAACCUGAUGUGGUUGUUGCUGGCUCUCUCGGGAGUAUGUGCACGCCCAUCAUCUUUAUAUUUCCACCUGUGCACCUUUUGUAGACCCGUGCGAUUUGAGCAAUCAAGUCAAGUAGGCCUACGUUUUAUCAUAUACCCCAUAGUAUGUAUCAGAAUGUAUCAGUGGGCUUUGUGCCUAUAAACACUAUACAACUUUCAGCAACGGAUCUCUUGGCUCUC